CACGUAGGCGGAUAUUUAAGUCAGGGGUGAAAUCCCAGAGCUCAACCUGGGAACUGCAUUUGAAACUGGCAAGCUAGAGUCUCGUAGAGGGGGGUAGAAUUCCAGGUGUAGCGGUGAAAUGCGUAGAGAUCUGGAGGAAUACCGGUGGCGAAGGCGGCCCCCUGGACGAAGACUGACGCUCAGGUGCGAAAGCGUGGGGAGCAAACA
rnacentral:rRNA from 1 species